CCAACACGCAGGACAAAGCACUGGAAGCAGACGCAGGGGCAUGAUGACUUCGACAUCCCCGAGCAGUUUGAACGACGCAGAAGCCGACUUGCUUAUCCCUUGAUGCUCCCGAGACAAAGAACUCCUGGUUAUCUCGUUUAAUUUCUGCAUCCAGCUCUGUGUAUGUGCGCUGCGGCACAUGGAAGCAUGAUCCCGCGAAGAUGAACAAGGUGUGCGUGGCUUGAGAUAAUCAAAUCAUACCUGGCUGGGUAUCCAACACUAACCCACUCCCAUGUAACUCCGUCUCCUCUGUAACAGCAACAGGGAUGCUCAUGGCAAUUAGCCGCUAGCUAGGUUCGGUGGCCCCUUUACCGUGUGGUAGCGCGGGGGGAAGGCGACGGGAAACAAUUCGACGGGCGCGGAUCCAAAGGGCUUGAUUCUUGAAUCUUGAUUCCGUUUCAAACCUUCAGAGCUCAAGAUUUUUCAACUCCCCAAAUGAGUUUUCUGGAGCAGAAAGCAAUUAUCAGUUGGUUCCAAGUUUCCAAGCUAGAUUUAGUUCUAGCUAAUCUAUAUCUCUGUUAUCCAGCCAUUGGCCCACCUUGAUUUUCUAUCAUGCAAGUGUCAUCCAUGGCCCUCUUCUUAGAACUAUCCUGUGGUUGGCUGUGUCGAUCAGGGCCCAAUUCUUAUUUUUUGUUUCUUUUUCUUCUUUCUUUUUCUUUAGCUACCUGCAGUUUAUGUGUCUCGAAAUCCAUACUGGCAGAAUGCUCUGCAUCAGUUAAAUAAGUAAAUGAUGAGCAAAGUCACAAGAAGGGAAGAAGCUCCGAAUAUCGGGGAUUCAUUUAGCAAAAAAGAACAACAAUGAAAAAGAUGCAGAAC
rnacentral:sRNA from 1 species